CACAUCUGGGUGCAGUGGCUCACGCCUAUAAUCCCAGCACUUUGGGAGGCCAAGGCGGACGGAUCAUUGGAGGUCGGGAGUUCGAGACCAGCCUGACCAACAUGGAGAAACGCCAUCUCUACUAAAAACACAUGGCCAGAGCAGGAGCAAGAGUCGGGGUAGGGGUUCGGCUUCUGCUAUGUUCAGAGAAGCCCAAAACACAUUUUGGGUGGAGGGGUUGCCACACACACUUUUAAUUUUAGAAUAGUUUUAGACUUAUAAAAAAUAUUACAAAGAUAGUACAGGGAGUUCCCUCAUACCUCACACUCAGUUUGCCUUCUUACCAUCUUACAUUAGUCUGAUACAUUGUCACAACUGAUGAAUCAGUAUGGAUACAUUAUUAUUAAUCUAGGUCCACUGUUUAGUGCAAUUUCCUUAGUUUUUCCUUAACAUCUUUUCCUGUUCCGAGAUCCUAUCCAGCAUAUCCCAUUACAUUUUGUCAUCCUUUCUCCUGUAGGCUCCAUUUGGACAUGACACGUUCUCAGACUUUCCUUGUUUUUGAUCACCCAGACAGUUUGAGUACUGCUCAGGUAUUUUGCAGACUGUCCCUCAGUAGGAAU
rnacentral:lncRNA from 10 species